rnacentral:rRNA from 1 species
UACGUAGGGGUCGAGCGUUGUCCGGAGUUACUGGGCGUAAAGCGCGUGCAGGUGGCUCAUUACGCCCGGCGUGAAAGCCCCCGGCUCAACCGGGGAGGGUCGUCGGGGACGGGUGAGCUUGAGGGUAGCAGGGGCUGGUAGAAUUCCCGGUGUAGUGGUGAAAUGCGUAGAGAUCGGGAGGAAUACCCGUGGCGAAGGCGGCCAGCUGGGCUACACCUGACACUGAGACGCGAAGGCGUGGGGAGCGAACGGGAUAGAA